AGGUACAAGAUAGAAUGAGGCCUAUCAUUGGACGAGAAGGAAGAAUGGGCAGUAAAAAAGUCUGAAGGAAGAGGAGGAGACUGGAAUGGAAAGGACAGGAGACCAGACGAGACUGCAGGAGAAGUCACCAGGAGAGAACAUGGAGGCUGACGUUCAGAUUCCAUGCUGUACCUUUACAGUGAAUUUACGGUGUAUGAUGGUAGAUUAAUCAAUGAUCAGGGCGAACAUGUACUAAUGGAAUUGAAAAACAUCAGCGGAUGUUUAAAGAAAAUUAUUAUUACUUAUGAGUGAUACUUCAAUACAAUUGGAACCAGGAAGAUACUAAAAGUAAAAUUCAUAAUUACUAGAAGAUUAAAUUACACUAUUGAAAACUUAUUUCAUGUGAAAAUAAAAUAAAUUAUGAAUGAAA